rnacentral:tRNA from 1 species
UCUCUGGUAGCUCAGUUGGUAAAGAAUCUGCCUGUGAUGCAGGUGACCUGGGUUCGAUCUCUGGUUUGGGAA